rnacentral:rRNA from 1 species
GACGAACGCUGGCGGCGUGCUUAACACAUGCAAGUCGAACAGAAAGGCCCUGCUUGCAGGGUACUCGAGUGGCGAACGGGUGAGUAAUACGUGGGUGAUCUGCCCUGCACUUCGGGAUAAGCCUGGGAAACUGGGUCUAAUACCGGAUAGGAGCCAUUUUUAGUGUGAUGGUUGGAAAGUUUUUUUCGGUGUAGGAUGAGCUCGCGGCCUAUCAGCUUGUUGGUGGGGUAAUGGCCUACCAAGGCGGCGACGGGUAGCCGGCCAGAGAGGGUGGACGGCCACAUUGAGACUGAGGUACGGCCCAGACGCCGACGGGAGGCAGAAGUGGGGAAUAUUGCACAAUGGGCGCAAGCCUGAUGCAGCGACGCCGCGGGGGGGAUGACGGCCUUCGGGUUGUAAAAUCCUUUCGCUAGGGACGAAGCUUUUUGUGACGGUACCUAGAGAAGAAGCACCGGCUAACUACGUG